rnacentral:rRNA from 1 species
GUGAAAUUGUUGAAAGGGAAGCGCUUGCAACCAGACCUGCCUGCAGUUGCUCAUCCGUGGCUUUUGCCCGGUGCACUCUUCUGCUGUCAGGCCAGCAUCAGUUCGGGCGGUCGGAUAAAGGCUUCGGGAAUGUAGCUCCUCUCGGGGAGUGUUAUAGCCCGUUGCGAAAUGCGGCCAGCCUGGACUGAGGUCCGCGCUUCGGCUAGGAUGCUGGCGUAAUGGUUGUAAGCGGCCCGUCUUGAAACACGGACCAAGGAGUCUAACAUCUGUGCGAGUGUUUGGGUGUUAAACCCGUACGCGUAAUGAAAGUGAACGGAGGCGGGAACCCCUCGGGGUGCACCGUCGACCGAUCCUGAUGUCUUCGGAUGGAUUUGAGUAAGAGCAUAGCUGUUGGGACCCGAAAGAUGGUGAACUAUGCCUGAAUAGGGUGAAGCCAGAGGAAACUCUGGUGGAGGCUCGCAGCGGUUCUGACGUGCAAAUCGAUCGUCAAAUUUGGGCAUAGGGGCGAAAGACUAAUCGAACUAUCUAGUAGCUGGUUCCUGCCGAAGUUUCCCUCAGGAUAGCAGUAACGUUUUCAGUUUUAUGAGGUAAAGCGAAUGAUUAGAGGCCUGGGGGUUGAAACAACCUUCACCUAUUCUCAAACUUUAAAUAUGUAAGAAGUCCUUGUUGCUCAGUUGAACGUGGACAUUUGAAUGUAUCGUUACUAGUGGGCCAUUUUUGGUAAGCAGAACUGGCGAUGCGGGAUGAACCGAACGCGGAGUUAAGGUGCCGGAAUGCACGCUCAUCAGACA